CCGAGUGUGUCGUCAUUUGAAAACCAUCCCUUUACUCUUACCACAUGUCCAACAGGGAAGAAUCAAACAUUUGGUAUUCAUCUCAGAGUGCUGGGAGACUGGACCUCGAGAUUUUCUCAGCUGCUGCUUCAACAGUCGAACAGCUCCGAGAUCCUUCCCAUGAUGCAACAGAGGAGAUA